UUUAUUUUUAUUUUUAUUUUUUUUUUACUAAAAGCACUUUUAUUUACAUGGGAAUUCAGGAGAAUUACAAUACUUUACUAAGUGUGGCUAGACUUCAGGAAGUCCUUCUAGUCUGGCCAACCCAAGGCAAGACGGCCAUUGCCCUGGGCUCUGUGCAGGUGAGGCCUCUAGAGGGCAUAGGGUCCCUCCCUCAGCACCCUCCUCAGAUCCAGAGUCAAAGUAUUCCUGGGUAGAUGGGAUCGGAACCUAGGUCUCCUCCCCAAGGACAAGGAUGGGCAGUCAUUAGGAGUGGGAAAGCCCCCAGCUGAAGUGUCCUGGCACUGAGGCCACAAAGAGACAAGGCAAUGGCCCAUCUUUGGCUCAGCACCCUCAGGAAGUGGUGCUGCUGCCCGGGGGAGGUUAUGCACAGGGGACCUUCCAUGGAGGCCCACUUGGCAGGGACUUGACAGUCUCUGGUUGCACAAAAGGAAGCUGUGAGACAGGGUGUUUUCA
rnacentral:lncRNA from 1 species